CGUUCGCUCCCCUGGCUUUCGCGCCUCAGCGUCAGUGUCAGCCCAGCAACCCGCCUUCGCCGCAGGUGUUCCUCUCGAUAUCUACGCAUUUCACCGCUACACCGAGAAUUCCAGUUGCCCCUUCUGCACUCUAGCCCGACAGUAUCACUUGACCGUUCCGAGUUAAGCCCGGAGAUUUCACAAGUGACUUGUCGUGGCCGCCUACGCGCCCUUUACGCCCAGUAAAUCCGAACAACGCUUGCUCCCCCCGUAUUACCGCGGCUGCUGGCACGGAGUUAGCCGGAGCUUACAAACAGUACCGUCAUCAUGAAAGGUAUUCGCUUUCACUUAUUCUUCCCGUUCUUGCGAAGUUUACAUCCCGAGGGAUUUCAUCCUUCACGCGGCGUUGCUGGGUCAGGCUUGCGCCCAUUGCCCAAAAUUCCCGACUGCUGCCUCCCGUAGGAGUCUGACCCGUAUUCAAGUGUCAGUGUGACCGACCGCCCUCUCAGGCCGGUUACAGAUCGUCGCCUUGGUAGGCCAUUACCCUGCCAACUAGCUAAUCUGCCGCAGGCUCCUCUUUAGGCGCGAGGUCUUACGAUCCCCCGCUUUAACAACUGUCUCGAUGUCGAGCCGCUGCAUUAUGCGGUAUUAGCUCA
rnacentral:rRNA from 1 species